UACGGAAGGGGCAAGCGUUAUUCGGAAUUAUUGGGGCGUAAAGGGCGCGUAGGCGGUUUGACAAGUCUGAUGUGAAAUCUCUGGGCUCAACCCAGAGUCUGCAUUAGAAACUGUCGGGCUUGAGUAUGGGAGAGGUGAGUGGAAUUUCCGGUGUAGCGGUGAAAUGCGUAGAUAUCGGGGAGGAACACCUGUGGCGAAGGCGGCUUUCUGGGCCUUACCUGACGCUGAGACGCGAAAGCGUGGGGAGCGAACCGG
rnacentral:rRNA from 1 species